UUCCUGGACCUCCUGGGAUGAGGUAGUAGAUUGUAUAGUUUUAGGGUCAUACCCGGUCUUGGAGAUAACUAUACAAUCUACUGUCUUUCCUAUGG
rnacentral:pre_miRNA from 11 species